AGCGUCGGAGGCGCCUAAUUCUGUUUUGCAGGCAUCGCCCCAAAGAGAGGGGGAAUUAUAAAGCACUGGUGCAGAAAAAUCGAUCUCUUUUAAGAAUAAUCGAUUUCUCUUAAGCACAUAAUCGAUUAUCAAGUAUCAAUAAUCGAUUAUGUUGACAUUAUAUUGUCCCUUUUAUAAUUGCGAUUUUUGGUUAAUCAAUAAACAAGUUAUUUAC
rnacentral:lncRNA from 1 species